rnacentral:snRNA from 1 species
AAGGUUGUUUUUUUUUUU